rnacentral:pre_miRNA from 1 species
GUAUGUUUGUGUGUGGAUGGUGUUCAGCACCAGGGACAGGUAUGUUUGUGUGUGGAUGGUGUUCUGCACUAAGAACAGGUGUGUGUGUGU